AGCCCCGGCGCGGGAGCGCGAACCGGCGCGAGGGAGCGAGAACGCGCGCGCCCCCCCCGCAGCCGCCACCGCCCACACCCUCCGCCCCCGGCCGGCGGCGCACGCGCAAGGGAGCGGGCGGACGGGCGCGCGCACGCCGCAGGGGGCGGGGAUGGGCCCUGGAAGGCGUGGCCCCGCCCCUAGCCCGCCUACCCACGCGGUCGCUGGGCUGGGUGAGCUGCGCCGCUGCAGGUAGUGCUGAGUUGCUCCAGGUGAGCUCUUCCUGGCAAAAAGCUCUUGGAACCCAGCCACCCUCGCCCUAGCAGCAACGCUCCUGAAUAAUAUGGGGUUUCGUCGGAUUUCUGCGCGCCGCUCUGGAUCACACGUUUGUUCUCCCUAGUUGAGUCGCAAGGCCUUCCUUCGUUCCACGUAGCAGGCUGCUUGGAAAAGGGCAGAGACUGUCAUUAUUUUGCACCAGUGCCACUGGGUUAGGUUCUCCACGACCAAGCUGGUCUCGGCAAGUGGUGUCCAUACCUGGGGUUCGAACCAAGGUCAAAGAGUCAUUGGAGUGAUGGUUGGAGAACGUGGAACUAAGCUGGAGGUCACCCAAGUAUUCUUAAGCAAUCCCCGUGGACCGAAUCAACAGCUGAUUUGGAUACCAUCAAGACACCUGAAACCUUACCGUGAGCCAGAUGCCAAGGAAGAGAUUCCAGGAGGAUCCCGAGGACUUCCCGGUUGCAGCCAUGUCGAGACUGACACUGAGGAGGACCCCAACUGUCACGAGCAAUGCCCAUCGAAGGCAGCCACCUACCAGGGGACAGAUCAAGAAGCUGUCACAGAUGUUGGAAGAAAACCUGAGGAAAGUGGGACAACCAGUCACAAUAAAUAAUUUAAUGAUAGCUACGAUAGUGGUGAUCACCAUUGCCAUGAGUAUUCCUUCAACAAGGGCUAACACAGAGAACAAUUAUACUUAUUGGGCAUAUUUGUCAAUCUUGGCUGGCAAUAAUGCCUGGAUGUAAUCACUCUAUGACACAGUUACGCAUAUUUUCUAGUCUCAGUAUUUACCAAAAUAAAUCUGCUCCUAUAAUUGAGGCAUGCCACCCUCAAAAACCUAUUUGUAAACGAAAUUGAACCUGGCCAGAAAAACUGAAUAUACUUGUUGGGGAAGAUUGCAUUGCAAAACAGGCAGAGGUGCUACGCAACAAUUCCUAUGGAAUCAUUGUUGAUUGGUCCCCUAAGGGGAUGUUUAGCUUGAAUUACACCUCUCAGUCUGCCUACCAUGGCCACACUGUUUUCAGCUGGUCUGAACAAAAUGGUCAAAUGGUAGAAAUGGUAAGAAA